GUAGGGUGCAAGCGUUAAUCGGAAUUACUGGGCGUAAAGCGUGCGCAGGCGGUUAUAUAAGACAGAUGUGAAAUCCCCGGGCUCAACCUGGGAACUGCAUUUGUGACUGUAUAGCUAGAGUACGGUAGAGGGGGAUGGAAUUCCGCGUGUAGCAGUGAAAUGCGUAGAUAUGCGGAGGAACACCGAUGGCGAAGGCAAUCCCCUGGACCUGUACUGACGCUCAUGCACGAAAGCGUGGGGGGAGCAAACAGGAUUAGAUACCCUGGUAGUCCACGCCCCUAAACGAUGUCAACUGGUUGUUGGGUCUUCACUGACUCAGUAACGAAGCUAACGCGUGAAGUUGACCGCCUGGGAGUACGGCCGCAAGGUUG
rnacentral:rRNA from 1 species